CUGUGGAUUCCGUGCAAUGUCAGCUCGUGAACCCCGUCAGGUUCGGAAGGAAGCAGCGGUAAGCGGAUCCUGACAUGUGCCAUGGGUCGAUCUGCACCGG
rnacentral:SRP_RNA from 1 species